rnacentral:rRNA from 1 species
UACGGGGGGGAGCAAGCGUUGUUCGGAUUUACUGGGCGUAAAGGGCGCGUAGGCGGCCACCGCAAGUCGACUGUGAAAUCUCCGGGCUUAACCCGGAAAGGUCAGCCGAUACUGCGGGGCUAGAGUGCAGAAGGGGCAACUGGAAUUCUCGGUGUAGCGGUGAAAUGCGUAGAUAUCGGAAGGAACACCAGUGGCGAAAGCGGCUUCCUGGUCCAGCACCGACGUUCAGGCACGAAAGCGUGGGGAGCAAAAGGG